AUGGCGGACCGCCUCACGCAGCUCCAAGACGCAGUGAACUCGCUUGCAGAUCAGUUUUGUAAUGCCAUUGGAGUGUUGCAACAGUGUGGUCCACCUACUUCAUUUAAUAACAUUCAGUCAGCAAUUAACAAGGACCAGCCAGCUAACUCUACAGAAGAAUAUGCUCAUCUUUUUGCUGCACUGAUUGCCCGGACAGCAAAAGAUAUUGGUGUUUUGAUAGAUUCUUUACCCAGUGAAGAAUCGACAGCCGCAUUACAGGCCGCUAGCUUGUAUAAGCUGGAGGAAGAGAACCAUGAAGCUGCUACCUGUCUGGAAGAUGCUGUUUAUCGAGUAGACUUGCUUCUGGAAAAUAUCCAGAGUGCACUGGCUAACAUUGCUCAGUCCCAGCUGAAGACAAGAAGUGGAGCCCACACCCAACCUUUUCCAACUACUAGCACUGUCACACCCUGGGCUGAAAAAAGGACUGGUCCAUGCCGUUAGCAUUCUGCAGCAGGUAUACCAAUACAGCAACAUCAAUCUCUCAGAUGUGCUGCCUUUCAGCCAGUUUUAAUUCUCUCUUCAUUGUUGAUAAAUAAGCUUAUAAAAUCUUGAUAGAAUCUGCUUUAAGCCAUCGUUGUGUCAUCAUUUUAUUUUUGUUUUUCCUCCUC